CGGGGUGUAGUUUAGCGGUAGAAUUUGCCGAUGGGGUCGGUAAGGUCCCAGUUCAACCCUGGGCGCCCCGA
rnacentral:tRNA from 3 species